rnacentral:rRNA from 1 species
UACGGAGGGUGCAAGCGUUAUUCGGAAUCACUGGGCGUAAAGGGUGCGUAGGCGGUUUGGAAAGUCAGAUGUGAAAGCCAACAGCUCAACUGUUGAAUUGCAUUUGAAACUUCCAGACUAGAAUACUGAAGGGGAAGAUGGAAUUAGUGGUGUAGGGGUAAAAUCCGUAGAUAUCACUAGGAAUACCGAAAGCGAAAGCGAUCUGCUGGGAAGUUAUUGACGCUGAGGCACGAAAGCGUGGGGAGCAAACAGG